rnacentral:rRNA from 1 species
GGAUAGCCACUGGAAAUGGUGGGUAAUACCGUAUAAUCCCCGCGGGGGAAAGAUUUAUCGCUAUUAGAUGAGCCUAUGUCGGAUUAGCUAGUUGGUGGGGUAAUGGCCUACCAAGGCAGUGAUCUGUAGCUGGUCUGAGAGGAUGAUCAGCCACACUGGAACUGAGACACGGUCCAGACUCCUACGGGAGGCAGCAGUGGGGAAUAUUGGACAAUGGGCGCAAGCCUGAUCCAGCAAUGCCGCGUGAGUGAGGAAGGCCUUAGGGUUGUAAAACUCUUUCAGUAGGGAAGAUAAUG